UGGGGAAUAUUGGACAAUGGGGGGAACCCUGAUCCAGCCAUGCCGCGUGUGUGAAGAAGGCCUUAUGGUUGUAAAGCACUUUAAGCGAGGAGGAGGGUACUGGUAUUAAUACUACCAGCUACUGGACGUUACUCGCAGAAUAAGCACCGGCUAACUCUGUGCCAGCAGCCGCGGUAAUACAGAGGGUGCGAGCGUUAAUCGGAUUUACUGGGCGUAAAGCGUGCGUAGGCGGCUAAUUGAGUCAGAUGUGAAAUCCCCGAGCUUAACUUGGGAAUUGCAUUCGAUACUGGUUAGCUAGAGUGUGGGAGAGGAUGGUAGAAUUCCAGGUGUAGCGGUGAAAUGCGUAGAGAUCUGGAGGAAUACCGAUGGCGAAGGCAGCCAUCUGGCCUAACACUGACGCUGAGGUACGAAAGCAUGGGGAGCAAACAGG
rnacentral:rRNA from 1 species